GAGUUUGAUCCUGGCUCAGAGUGAACGCUGGCGGCGUGCCUAAGACAUGCAAGUCGUACGAGAAAGGGGCUUCGGCCCUGAGUAAAGUGGCGCAAGGGUGAGUAAUAGUUAGGUAACGUACCGUCUCGCUGGGGAUAACUAGGGGAAACCUUAGCUAAUACCGAAUAGUCUGCUGAGGCGAAUGCCGAUGCAGUAAAGCCAUUAGGCGCGGGACGAUCGGCCUAACUCCUAUCAGCUAGUUGGUAGGGUAACGGCCUACCAAGGCUAUGACGGGUAGCUGGUCUGAGAGGAUGGUCAGCCACACUGGCACUGAGACACGGGCCAGACUCCUACGGGAGGCAGCAGUUAGGAAUCUUGCGCAAUGGGCGAAAGCCUGACGCAGCGACGCCGCGUGAGGGAAGAAGGCCUUCGGGCUGUAAACCUCUUUCGGCAGGGAACACUAAAGAUAGUACCUGCAGAAGAAGCCCCGGCUAACUACGUGCCAGCAGCCGCGGUAAAACGUAGGGGGCAAGCGUUACUCGGAAUGACUGGGCGUAAAGGGUGUGUAGGCGGCUUCCUAAGUCCGAUGUGAAAGCCCUAGACUCAAUCUAGGAACUGCAUCGGAUA
rnacentral:rRNA from 1 species